AUUGAACGCUGGCGGCAGGCCUAACACAUGCAAGUCGAACGAGUGGCGGACGGGUGAGUAAUGUCUGGGAAACUGCCUGAUGGAGGGGGAUAACUACUGGAAACGGUAGCUAAUACCGCAUACCAUCGGAUGUGCCCAGAUGGGAUUAGCUAGUAGGUGGGGUAAAGGCUCACCUAGGCGACGAUCCCUAGCUGGUCUGAGAGGAUGACCAGCCAAGCUGGAGCUGAGACACGGUCCAGAAGCCUACGAGAGGCAGCAGUGGGGAAUAUGGCACAAUGGGCGCAAGCCUGAUGCAGCCAUGCCGCGUGUAUGAAGAAGGCCUUCGGGUUGUAAAGUACUUUCAGCGGGGAGGCGUUACACGCAGAAGAAGCACCGGCUAACUCCGUGCCAGCAGCCGCGGUAAUUC
rnacentral:rRNA from 1 species